rnacentral:tRNA from 1 species
ACUUCUUAAGUAAUAAAUUUACAUUUGAGUUUCAAUCAAAAUCACUUUUCUUAAAAGAAGAA